CAGGCUCGUGCCCGCGUCGACCGAAAGCUUUGUUUACUUUCCUCAGUUUAGCUAAAAGGAGAUUCCUGGUCGGAAUAUUAUCGCUUUUUUACGAGAAAAAUGGCAUAAAAAUUGAUUUUAAACAGCGGUUGACAUGCUUCGAAGUACGGUAAUGGAAUAUUUAGAUUUUUUUUGUCACGGAUUGCGCCAUGCGCACGACCCUUAUUUACCAUUUCAGAUAGUGUCUGGGACGCACGAACAAAACGCCGCUAUUCGGAUAUAACGAUGGAUUAUUUUGGACCAAACCAACAUUUGUUAUUGAAGUAGCAGUCCUGGGAGUGCAUUCUGACGAAGACAACAAAAGAGGAUCAUGACGAGGAAAGCCCACAACAGAAGAGUUCUGACACCACUGUGCGCAGAGAUGA
rnacentral:lncRNA from 1 species